AUCGAACGCUGGCGGCAGGCCUAACACAUGCAAGUCGAACGAGUGGCGGACGGGUGAGUAAUGUCUGGGAAACUGCCCGAUGGAGGGGGAUAACUACUGGAAACGGUAGCUAAUACCGCAUACCAUCGGAUGUGCCCAGAUGGGAUUAGCUAGUAGGUGGGGUAACGGCUCACCUAGGCGACGAUCCCUAGCUGGUCUGAGAGGAUGACCAGCCACACUGGAACUGAGACACGGUCCAGCGUCCUACGGGAGGCAGCAGUGGAGAAUGUUGGACAAUGGGCGCAAGCCUGAUGCAGCCAUGCCGCGUGUAUGAAGAAGGCCUUCGGGUUGUAGAGUACUUUCAGCGAGGGGGCGUUACUCGCAGAAGAAGCACCGGCUGACUCCGUGCCAGCCGCCGCGGUAAUAC
rnacentral:rRNA from 1 species